CGAGAAACCCGAGGUCAAGAUCGGGGUGUCGGUGAAGCAACAAUUCACCGAGGAGGAGAUUUACAAGGACCGAGACUCCCAAAUCGCCGCCAUCGAGAAAACCUUCGAGGACGCGCAGAAGGCGAUCACGCAGCACUACAGCAAACC